AGUGAACGCUGGCGGUAGGCCUAACACAUGCAAGUCGAACGGCAGCACAGUAAGAGCUUGCUCUUACGGGUGGCGAGUGGCGGACGGGUGAGGAAUACAUCGGAAUCUACUUUUUCGUGGGGGAUAACGUAGGGAAACUUACGCUAAUACCGCAUACGACCUACGGGUGAAAGCAGGGGAUCUUCGGACCUUGCGCGAUUGAAUGAGCCGAUGUCGGAUUAGCUAGUUGGCGGGGUAAAGGCCCACCAAGGCGACGAUCCGUAGCUGGUCUGUGAGGAUGAUCAGCCACACUGGAACUGAGACACGGUCCAGACUCCUACGGGAGGCAGCAGUGGGGAAUAUUGGACAAUGGGCGCAAGCCUGAUCCAGCCAUACCGCGUGGGUGAAGAAGGCCUUCGGGUUGUAAAGCCCUUUUGUUGGGAAAGAAAAGCAGCAGGUUAAUACCCCGCUGUUCUGACGGUACCCAAAGAAUAAGCACCGGCUAACUUCGUGC
rnacentral:rRNA from 1 species